rnacentral:rRNA from 1 species
UGUAAGCGUAUACCAAAGUUGUUGCAGUUAAAACGCUCGUAGUCGGAAUUUGGCAGUUCCGGAUGUGUGCACGUCGUGUGCGCACUUCGCGGGGAUUGCUUUUGUGGUCUUGCGUAGGAUGAGGCACUUUUAUUAGUGAACGUCCUCACGCAACCACUUUUUACUGUGAGAAAAUCAGAGUGCUCAAAGCAGGCAUUGGCCGUGAAUGUAUUAGCAUGGAAUAAUAGAAUAGGACUUGGUUCUAUUUUGUUGGUUUGUUGGGACUGAGUAAUGAUUAAGAGGGACAGUUGGGGGCAUUUGUAUUUCGGUGCUAGAGGUGAAAUUCUUAGAUUACCGAAAGACAAACUGCUGCGAAAGCGUCUGCCAAGGAUGUUUUCAUUGA